rnacentral:rRNA from 1 species
GACGAACGCUGGCGGCGUGCUUAACACAUGCAAGUCGAACGGAAAGGCCCUGCUUUUGUGGGGUGCUCGAGUGGCGAACGGGUGAGUAACACGUGAGUAACCUGCCCUUGACUUUGGGAUAACUUCAGGAAACUGGGGCUAAUGCCGGAUAGGAGCUCCUGCUGCAUGGUGGGGGUUGGAAAGUUUCGGCGGUUGGGGAUGGACUCGCGGCUUAUCAGCUUGUUGGUGGGGUAGUGGCUUGCCAAGGCUUUGACGGGUAGCCGGCCUGAGAGGGUGACCGGCCACAUUGGGACUGAGAUACGGCCCAGACUCCUACGGGAGGCAGCAGUGGGGAAUAUUGCACAAUGGGCGGAAGCCUGAUGCAGCAACGCCGCGUGCGGGAUGACGGCCUUCGGGUUGUAAACCGCUUUCGCCUGUGACGAAGCGUGAGUGACGGUAAUGGGUAAAGAAGCACCGGCUAACUACGUG